rnacentral:lncRNA from 10 species
GAUAAGGGGAUGCAACUGUUCAGGUCUGAUUUCCUGUUGUUUCUCAGAUACUGAUAGGGCAUCAUUCACAUACAUGACAAAUAAGACUUCUGAACUGUUUGCCAUUUGGGAAGGGGAGGCUCGCGGGUUGUUCCCUGGCGAAAUGAUUUGUGAAACAUCAGUCCGAAAUUAUUCGGGGGUUCUUCGCCCUCCACUUUCCCAUAGCGCGUUUUCCUUUCUCCCACAGAGAUAUAAUAGAAACUAAUCUUCAAAAUCCAAACAUUCCAAGCCCCAUCCUUUUGUGCAGGCAUCUCGCUGUCUGCGCUGGGCACGGAGCGGCGCGCGCGCGCCCGUCUUUCCCUCGGCGGCCCCCGCGGCUCGGACCCGGGCCGGCAGACAGGCCAUCCAUCAUCCGCCCUCCUCCCGCGGAGCGCCGCAGCCGCCGCGGCCAAUCCGGCGGCAGGUGGGGCCGCACCUGCGCGACAGCCCGCCGCUUCCCUCCGCUCCCUUCGCCGCGCCUCGCGUGCUAGCGGUGCCCUUGUGAGCCACUGCGUUCUCCAAGGCCAGAACGGGACAGUUGACGAUGGUCGUACUUCUCCAUGUUCUGAGACCAGUUUAAACAAAAACAAAAACCAGACAACAACCUUGCAAGGGAAAGAAUUCAGAGUAAAUAAACAGUCUUUUUCUGGGAAGUAAAAUAUUUCCCUAAGAUGGAGAAAUUGAGAUGAGAGCUCAUCCACAAGAUUACCCAUCAAUGAGCACCAAUAGCAACCAAAUCCACUAGAAGACUGGGAGCUUUUAAGUCAAGAAACUUACAUCAGUAUCAUCAUUCCAAGAAGCGGUAUCCAAGCUGUUUUAUCGAAAGUGCGCAUGGGAGAUAAGACUCUGAGAAUUUAUAGAAACAAACAUUAGAAGGCAGGAAUGUGGAGAGAAGAAAGCUACCUGACAAGGGAAUCUCAGGAUACAAGGAAAACACCAAGAAGACACCUGCCUGAGGGUCUUAUAGCUAAUGGACUGCAGAAGACUUGAGUCAUCAUUCAAAUUCAGUAGCCAUCCUCUGAUGUCCAGUUGAAGAUUGGUGAUUCCAGAAUAGCUCGCAUUGCCCCAGUUGACUUGCCACACAGCUUCUUUCAGGACUUGAAAAUGUCCUAGCCACCCCCAUCUUACCUCCUACUUCCAAUGCCUUUUAAGAUAGAAAACAAAAAACAAAACAACAAAAAAACACCAGCCACCCUUGUGGGUUAGAUAAUCCUACAUCAAGGUGAAUUCUUGAUAACCAGUUCUGUUCUUCCUUAUGUCUUGUAAACAUGCUAAUUAGAAGGAGCUUGUGUUUGAAGAUCAAGGGAGGAAGAAUUCUGAAGCCAGGGCUAGCCUUAGGGGACAUAACUCCUUCCAGUCACUUCCUGAAUUUUUUGGUACCUGGCUUUUGAGAGUCCUCCAAAGUGAGAAUUUCAUGACAUGUAACCUCUCAACACCUGCAUUUUAAAAAAUUGUCCAAAAUACCGCAGAUACCACAGAAAAGUCCAAAACUUAAGUUUUUCCCUCCACUCAGAGCAUCUUAGCAACAUACUAACCAUAAGACUCUAAGCGCUCUUACCCUCAAUGCAAUUCUCACUGAAUAUCCUGUCAGGAGAACUCUACCUCUCUUCCAUGUUAUUAAGGUUAUUGUUCUUUGCAAGGUGUACACAACACAAAUAUAUUUCUUGGUGAAUGAACUCACUCUCAAAGACUGCUGUCCUUGGGGAUAUAGCCAACAUGCCAUAUCCACAACAUAGGUCUUCUUUACAGUCCUGUUGAAACAUGUAAGAUCAGCUACUAAGUCCCUGCAUCUCAGACAGGAACUUAAUAGAGUACAUUUAAAAAAAAAAUUCAGAAGUAAUUAAAACAAAUUGCAUACAAGCCACCUGUUUAGAAAGUUCAUAAAUUUUAUGCAAUUAUUUAUCUCUUUAUUUUUUCUGAAAUCAAGAGCAGAAUGUAUCCAAGUGAAACUAAAAGAGCGAGGUCAAGGGGAAACAACACAGGGCUUGUGGAGUCAUAAAUAUGUAUUAAAGCAGCAGAGUUAAUUUUGUCCCAAGUUCCAUAUUGGCCAGGAAAAAAGAAACAAGAUCAGCAGAGUUAACAGCUCUCAACCUGAAUAUGCCUCAGAAUUUCUAGGAGGACUUAAGUAAUGAGAUUCCUGGGUUUCUACAUGGACCAACUCAAUCAAACUCUUCAGGAGACAGCUGCUGUUGUUAGACUGUGUCUCCCAAAAUUCUUGUGUUGGAAACUUAGUUCCCAAUGUAAUGAUACUGGCAGGUGUGGCCUAGUGGGGGGUGUUUAGAUCAUGAGGGCUUCAGCCUCAUGAAUGGAUUAAUGUUGAUAUCUCAGGAGUGAGUUUCCUCUUGCUCUCUGUAGCCCUCUCUCUUGCCACAUGAUGACUUCCACCAGGUUAUGACUCAACAGGAAGGCCCUCACAAGAUGUGGAACCUCAAUCUUAGACUUCUCAGCCUCCAGAAGUGAGCCAAAUAAAUUUCUGUUCAUUAUACAUUACUUAGUCUGGAUUAUUCUGUUAUAAGGGCACAAAACAGACUAGUACACAAUAUGUGUGUGCUUUUUACAUCAGAUGAAUCUCAUGGUCAGUUAAGUCUGGAAAUCACUUGUCUAAAUGAGUUGCGUUUGGUUUUUCCUAAGAAAUAUGCUGUCAGUUCCUCAAGAGAAGCAAAAUAUACCAGCCCUUAUAUUUCCUUUAAGAAGACUCACCUAAUUUAGGUCAUAUAUCUCAAAGUGUUAUGGGGCAAGAUAUAUUCAACACUGUAUUCAGU